AAGACCAUCCUUUGAGAGGUCACAUCUGUAGUAUGUUACUAGAGAGCUUUGACUGGGAAAAUCUCAAUGAGCCACGGAAAGCCUUCCAGAGCGGGAAGCUUGUGGGUGGUGCCACCUGCUGGCUGCUGCUUGCUACUGCUGAUGGCUCCUUUUCUCCUCUGGGAAGAAUUAGGAAGGAGA
rnacentral:snoRNA from 1 species